rnacentral:rRNA from 1 species
CCUACGGGUGGCUGCAGUGGGGAAUAUUGCACAAUGGGCGCAAGCCUGAUGCAGCCAUGCCGCGUGUGUGAAGAAGGCCUUCGGGUUGUAAAGCACUUUCAGCGGGGAGGAAGGCGUUAAGGUUAAUAACCUUGGCGAUUGACGGUACCCGCAGAAGAAGCACCGGCUAACUCCGUGCCAGCAGCCGCGGUAAUACGGAGGGUGCAAGCGUUAAUCGGAAUUACUGGGCGUAAAGCGCACGCAGGCGGUCUGUCAAGUCGGAUGUGAAAUCCCCGGGCUCAACCUGGGAACUGCAUUCGAAACUGGCAGGCUAGCGUCUUGUAGAGGGGGGUAGAAUUCCAGGUGUAGCGGUGAAAUGCGCAGAGAUCUGGAGGAAUACCGGUGGCGAAGGCGGCCCCCUGGACAAAGACUGACGCUCAGGUGCGAAAGCGUGGGGAGCAAACAGGAUUAGAUACCCUAGUAGUC